CCUACGGGAGGCUGCAGUCGAGAAUCAUUCACAAUGGGGGAAACCCUGGUGGUGCGACGCCGCGUGGGGGAAUGAAGGUCUUCGGAUUGUAAACCCCUGUCAUGUGGGAGCAAAUUAAAAAGAUAGUACCACAAGAGGAAGAGACGGCUAACUCUGUGCCAGCAGCCGCGGUAAUACAGAGGUCUCAAGCGUUGUUCGGAAUCACUGGGCGUAAAGCGUGCGUAGGCUGUUUCGUAAGUCGUGUGUGAAAGGCGCGGGCUCAACCCGCGGACGGCACAUGAUACUGCGAGACUAGAGUAAUGGAGGGGGAACCGGAAUUCUCGGUGUAGCAGUGAAAUGCGUAGAUAUCGAGAGGAACACUCGUGGCGAAGGCGGGUUCCUGGACAUUAACUGACGCUGAGGCACGAAGGCCAGGGGAGCGAAAGGGAUUAGAUACCCCUGUAGUC
rnacentral:rRNA from 1 species